UACGAAGGGGGCUAGCGUUGCUCGGAAUCACUGGGCGUAAAGCGCACGUAGGCGGAUCUUUAAGUCAGGGGUGAAAUCCCAAGGCUCAACCUUGGAACUGCCUUUGAUACUGGGGAUCUCGAGUCCGGAAGAGGUUGGUGGAACUGCGAGUGUAGAGGUGAAAUUCGUAGAUAUUCGCAAGAACACCAGUGGCGAAGGCGCCUGUCUGGCUGACAACUGACGCUGAGACUCGAAAGCAUGGGGAGCAAACAGG
rnacentral:rRNA from 1 species